UUAAGUUCAGCGGGUUUUCCCGCCCGAUUUCAGAUCAAGUUAUCAGAGCUCGAACCAUCAGAUUCGAGAUCCGUACCAUGGGAUAAGCACGUGCGUCAAUGCCGCCAAUGAAUUGUCCAAGCGAAAUAGAUAAAUCUGUUGCACUUUGACAACCAAGAGACUUCGCAAUUGGUGCACACACAAUGCAUUUGAGAUGAUUG
rnacentral:misc_RNA from 1 species